rnacentral:rRNA from 1 species
CAAUUCUCGCCCUGUGGUGGAUUCAAUACCGGAUACUCCGCGGGCCCCGCAUGGGGCCGGCGGGAAAGCCCCGACGGCAAGGGAUGGGGUCGCGGCCCAUUAGGUAGUAGGCGGGGUAACGGCCCACCUAGCCCGCGAUGGGUAGCCGGCCUGAGAGGGCGAUCGGCCACAUUGGGACUGAGAUACGGCCCAGACUCCUACGGGAGGCAGCAGUGGGGAAUUUUGCGCAAUGGGGGAAACCCUGACGCAGCAACGCCGCGUGCGGGAUGACGGCCCUCGGGUUGUAAACCGCUUUCAGCAGGGAAGAUAUUGACGGUACCUGCAGAAGAAGCUCCGGCUAACUACGUGCCAGCAGCCGCGGUAAUACGUAGGGAGCGAGCGUUAUCCGGAUUCAUUGGGCGUAAAGCGCGCGUAGGCGGCUGCCUAAGCGGAACCUCUAACCCCGGGGCUCAACCUCGGGCCGGGUUCCGAACUGGGCGGCUCGAGUGCGGUAGAGGAGAGCGGAAUUCCCGGUGUAGCGGUGGAAUGCGCAGAUAUCGGGAAGAACACCGAUGGCGAAGGCAGCUCUCUGGGCCGGCACUGACGCUGAGGCGCGAAAGCUGGGGGAGCGAACAGGAUUAGAUACCCUGGUAGUCCCAGCCGUAAACGAUGGGCGCUAGGUGUGGGGGGGACCUUCCCUCCGUGCCGCAGCCAACGCAUUAAGCGCCCCGCCUGGGGAGUACGGCCGCAAGGCUAAAACUCAAAGGAAUUGACGGGGGCCCGCACAAGCAGCGGAGCAUGUGGCUUAAUUUCGAAGCACGCGAGAACCUUACCAGGGCUUGACAUGCAGUGAAGCCGGGGAAACCCGGUGCCGAGAGGAGCC